rnacentral:rRNA from 1 species
AACGAACGCUGGCGGCAUGCCUAACACAUGCAAGUCGAACGAGACCUUCGGGUCUAGUGGCGCACGGGUGCGUAACGCGUGGGAACCUGCCCUUAGGUUCGGAAUAACUCCCCGAAAGGGGUGCUAAUACCGGAUAAUGUCUUCGGACCAAAGAUUUAUCGCCUUUGGAUGGGCCCGCGUUGGAUUAGCUAGUUGGUAGUGUAAAAGCCUACCAAGGCGACGAUCCAUAGCUGGUCUGAGAGGAUGAUCAGCCACCCUGGGACUGAGACGCGGCCGAGACUCCUGCGGGAGGCAGCAGUGGGGAAUAUUGGACAACGGGCGCAAGCCUGAUCCAGCAAUGCCGCGUGAGUGAUGAAGGCGUUAGGGUUGUAAAGCUCUUUUACACGGGAUGAUAAUGACAGUACCGGGAGAAUAAGCUCCGGCUAACUCCGUG